CCAUCUUUAUGUUACUGAUAUCAGGUUCUUUGAUAAGAUCAAUUUAUUUCAGCCAUCUUAGAGCUUUUUUAUGUUUAUUAGUUUUCUAGCCUUGGUGAAAAAGCAUCAUCUUUGUAUGUGGAGAAUGGCAAUUUAAUUCAACAACAAGCACACAGAUACAUGUGCACAGUGCACACUUAUGUUGAUGUGCAUGUUUGUUCUUGAAAGCUCAACCACACUAUUUGAUUUCAUAUCCAAUAGUUGACCACUUAGUUUUAAGUGGAGUCCUUUAACUGAAAAUCUGGCUACAGAAUUUGAAAUUUAAAGUUUAGUGCCUUAUAACUGCAUCCUAGAUAUAGAAUUUUAAAAGCUUAUAUUCUGAUAAUCUGUGACUGGUCAACCUAAGUAAUGCAGGCAAGUGUUACAUAUUGCAACUUUCAUCGUGGAGUUCUCCACAUGAUAGAGUCGAUGGCACCAGUGUAUUUAAGUUAGCAUAGGAGCAGUACAUGUGUUCCUUAGAUUUCAUUUUAGUAUCUAUAGGAAUUGAGUACCUUUGAAGCAUUUGUUAGAAGCACAGUGUAAAGCUCAAGUUCAAAUUUUACGGUGAUAAGUAACCAAUCAUUUGGCUGACAGUAUUAGUAUUCAGCUAUUCGGUACUUAGUAGAUGCUUCACUGUUGCUGUGUACUAGUUUUACCUCAAGCAAGUGAAUAUAUAUCAAGUGGUAUUAUGAUUCGUUCUCCAUUGUUAAUCAGCUCAUUAUCCUCUGAAAAUGGCCCUUAUUAAUGGAUAAGAGCAUUGGUAGUAAUCCUAGUUACAAUAUCUUUAUGAGAUUUGCAAGAGACAAGUUUGAGGGGUGAAUUCAGUAUAAUGAAUAGAUGCAUAGAAGGCAAUGAUGAAUUGAUUGAUGUGUGCCAUAAUAAGUGAGUUCUUUAUUACAUAGACAUAUAAACAUGUAG
rnacentral:misc_RNA from 1 species